GCCCCCCCCCCCGUGAGAGCCUGAGGGACACUAUAGCAAAGCACUGCCCUUCUAGAUAGAAGAGAGUGUUCCCCAGAUAAAAGAGGGGGAAAGGGUCCUGGUUGCAAGGCAUGGCAACAGCCUUCAGCAUUGUCAAUCAUCUGAUCUGGAUGGUCUUUCAGAAGAGGAUGCCCUGGAGCUGAGCCUGCUGAACAGCAUUCCCAUCAUCUAUAAAUUGGACAAGAACUUGAAUCCCAUAAAGCCCUGGGAGAUGAAGAGACCAUGUGGAAAACCGUGGAAGUUGUGGUGGCUCAGGAAAAGAUGAAGAAGUGA
rnacentral:lncRNA from 1 species